CGGAUCAUUACCUUCAAAGCAAAACCCUAACACAAAUACUCUACAGAUCCAUAUCCUGCCUCAUUUGCCCCCGCUUCUGCCCGAUAUUUUCACCUCUGAAGAGAUGGAGAUGAUGAAGGCGAAACCAUGAAUCAUAGUAAAACCUUGUUCAUGCCCUAAUUUGAUUCUGUGAUUUUGAAGAUGGGAGAUGGAAAGAGGAAUUCGAUGAAGGGGUGUAGAUUCAGGUGAAACUAGGGUUUGAACGAAGAAUUAGGAACCAAGAAUGGGUUUUUGAGUGAAUGGUGAAGGACUUAGUCAAGUAGUUGCAGGUUGAAUUUGUUGAUUACAGGGAAGAAGGAAUUGGAGGUUGUUGUCUACGGUGAAUUAGAAGCUUAGAAGAUGGUAUUGCGGUGGUUGGAGGUGGUGGUGCAUAAGAGAGACGAAUCUGGUUUGUUGGGGGUUUCUAAUGGAAUGAAUUUGGUGAUGGGUUGGAGCUAAGUUGCUUGGUGGUGGUGGUGUUGGUUAUAAACAGUGGUGUUGCUUGCUGCUGGUGUGUUGUUGUUGCUUGUAGGGGGUGGUGUUGCUGCUGCUGGUUGCUGUUGCUGGUGAAAUAGAUUAGGAUCCUUACAUGGCAUCGGAACUUCAGCCCGCAUUCAGUAUCGUUACAUCACAUUCCCUCAAAGGAUUCACCGUUUCCUCUUCUGGUAUAGCCGCCAUCACCACCACCACCACCACCAGUUCAUCACCAUCACUUCAACAAAUCGGGAAGGGUGUUUAAGACAAAAGUCACACUGUUUUUCUCAAAGCAGUUAAGUCGGAUGGGAAAAUACCACUUUGCAAACACUAAUUAAAGCUAUGAUCAUUUUGUAAAACUAAUUAAGGGAGUGUAAUAAUUUUGUAAAACACCCUUUUCACAAUUAGCUUGGUAGCUUGGUCCAUCUUUAUUCCAUUUCA